GAUGAACGCUGGCGGCGUGCCUAAUACAUGCAAGUCGAGCGAACGGACGAGAAGCUUGCUUCUCUGAUGUUAGCGGCGGACGGGUGAGUAACACGUGGAUAACCUACCUAUAAGACUGGGAUAACUUCGGGAAACCGGAGCUAAUACCGGAUAAUAUUUUGAACCGCAUGGUUCAAAAGUGAAAGACGGUCUUGCUGUCACUUAUAGAUGGAUCCGCGCUGCAUUAGUUAGUUGGUAAGGUAACGGCUUACCAAGGCAACGAUGCAAAGCCGACCUGAGGGGGGGAUCGGCCACUGGGGAACUGGGACGCGGUCCGAACCCCGACGGGAGGCACCGGCAGGGAAUCUACCGGAAUGGGCGAAAGCGUGACGGAGCAACGGCGCGUGAGUGAGGAAGGUCUUCGGAUCGUAAAACUCGGUUAUUAGGGAAGAACAAAUGUGUAAGUAACGGUGCACAUCUGGAAGGAACCGAAUCAGAAAGCCACGGUAAACUACGU
rnacentral:rRNA from 1 species